rnacentral:rRNA from 1 species
GAAGAACCUUACCCCGCCUUGACAUCCCAGGAAUUUUACAGAAAAAGGGGUGUUCCUUAAGGGAAACCGGGACACAGGUGGCGCAUGGGUGUUGUCAGCUUGUGUUGUGAGGUUGUGGGUUAAGUCCCGCAACGAGCGCAACCCUUCUCCUUAAGUUCCAUCAUUCAGUUGGGCACUCUAAUGAGACUGCCGGUGACAAACCGGAGGAAGGUGGGGAUGACGUCAAGUCCUCAUGGCCCUUAUGGGUAGGGCUACACACGUGAUACAAUGGCCGGUACAAAGGGUUGCCAACCCGCGAGGGGGAGCCAAUCCCACAAAGCCGGUCUCAGUCCGGAUUGCAGUCUGCAACUCGACUCCAUGAAGUCGGAAUCGCUAGUA